CGGCUUAGAUCAGGGUCCUUUACUUUAUACACUUGAAGCAACCCUAUUGCAGGUUUCUGAGGAUUAAACCAAACAUCAAAACUAAUCAAGAACUCCUUCUUGAUUAUUUUUCUCUCUCUCUAAGGCCUCCUUUCUCUUAGAUCAGAUCUAGAAGAGGAAGAACUGGGGUGUGGAAAGGAGGAAACAAGAGGAGUUGGCAUGGAGG
rnacentral:lncRNA from 1 species